AUUUAGUACUAACUAAUGUCCUGCCAUGACACACAACGUGUUUGUUUUUGGUACUCUCAAAAGAGGUCAACCAAACUUUUACUUACUGGAGGAUGCAAGCAACGGUUUGGCAGUAUACCUGGCUGAUGGGAUUACGGAAGAAAAGUUUCCCGUUGUUAUAGCGAGCAGGUGUAACAUUCCAUUCAUGUUACCUGUGGCAGGUAAAGGCAAGAAUGUUGUCGGUGAAAUCUAUGAAGUGGAUGAUAGCAUGUUAAACUGUUUAGAUAUCUUAGAGAGAAAAGCAGAAAUUCUUGACAGACGUAAAAUAAAUGUCGUAUCCAAUGGACGUGCUAUAACAUGCUGGUGUUACCAUCUGGUUAACCACAAAAAAGAGCUACAAGAAUUACCAACAAUCGAUAACUAUGACACGAAUGGUUCACACGGCCUCCCUUAUAUUCCCAAAUCUUUAGAAACAUGUGACAAUUUCAGUGAUGUACAAAUACAAAACAAACAGGAUGAUAAAUAAAAACAAUGAUGAUCACUAUCAUUAUAUAUAUAGAUGACAAUAGAUGACAAGUAAAUGCAAACAUCCAG